AACGCAUAUUGCGCUCUUUGGUAUUCCGAAGAGCAUGCUUGUUUGAGUAUCAGUAAACACCUCAAAGUCUUUUUUUGUUAAGAGACUUUGGACUUGAGCAAUCCCAACACCUCUCUCUCCAAGAGAGGGGUGGCGGGUUGCUUGAAAUGCAGGUGCAGCUGGACUUUCUCCUGAGCUAAAAGCAUAUUCAUUUAGUCCCGUCAAACGGAUUAUUACUUUUGCUGCAGCUAACAUAAAGGGAGAUUGACCAUUUUGGCUGACUGAUGCAGGAUUUUCACAAGAGUCUUCAAACCACUCUUGUUAAACUCGAUCUCAAAUCAAGUAAGACUACCCGCUGAACUUAA
rnacentral:misc_RNA from 1 species